rnacentral:rRNA from 1 species
UACAGAGGUCUCAAGCGUUGUUCGGAUUCAUUGGGCGUAAAGGGUGUGUAGGUGGCGCGCUAAGUCAGGUGUGAAAUUUCGGAGCUUAACUCCGAAACUGCAUUUGAUACUGGCGUGCUUGAGGACUGGAGAGGAGACUGGAAUUCAUGGUGUAGCAGUGAAAUGCGUAGAGAUCAUGAGGAAGACCAGUGGCGAAGGCGGGUCUCUGGACAGUUCCUGACACUGAGGCACGAAGGCCAGGGGAGCGAACCGG